CUUAACCGUACGGACCGCCGUGCCCUCGCUACUGCGGCGGCGGGAUGGGAAAAGGCUGGUUCCUAUGGCGGCGAUGGGAAAGGGCUGCUUCGAUGAUAUCGACGCAGGAGUGGAUCCUCCCCCCAGCUGUUGUCCGUCUCCGCCCUCCGUCUUCUCUUUGCCUGCGACCCAAGAAGAAGAGAGGAAACCCUAAAAAAAGGGGUCUCCGACCCCCAUCUUCUCUUCGCCUGCGACCCAAGAAGAAGAGUGGAAACCCUAAAAAAAGGGCGGUUUUACCUUCUCCUCCUCCUCCUCCUCCUCUCUUCUUUCUCCUGCACGUCGCCGCUGCUCUCAUUAAGCACCUUCUGAUCCGAGGAAUUAAUUUAAGAUUGACAGUUCUUUGAGGGAGGUCGGAAAUACUGGGUUGGAACCUGAAAGCACUUGCAUGACAGAUGGAAGAUGAAGUCACAAGAACAGCCACAAUGGCUUUUCCCCAUGCGACCUACCGCAAUAGCUUCAAUUGCUUGGGCUGUGUGAAUGACUUGUCAACUCCCAACCUUGAUCAGGCUUCCAUUUGAAACAGGAUAGCCUCUUUUCAUGCCAUUGUAAUCUGCUCAACCUGGUGGAGACUUCAACCUUGUUGCAUGCUGCUGGCUGCAGUAUCAGACAGUCAGAACGACAUUGAUCACCAGGAACUCCAUUUGCAUAUAUCUACACCUCAGGCAGGGAACAUAUGAAAAGAUUUGUGUACUUCAUAAAGGCUUUAUAUCGGCACGUAUGAAGCACAGCAGCAGUGUUUCUGCAAACCCUCAACACUCCAGAAUCAUUAUUUUGCUCACUCAGAAGCAAUCAUGAUCUGGAACGGGCUUUGUGGUUUUCAUAAUGGGCUGAUUCAUGGAGAGAUCAGAUAGAUUAACGAGCCUAUUUAACUUGAUCUUGGAUUCAGUUUGUAAGGGGCAGUUCCUCCUGAACCAGCUCCAACAGAACUGGAACAUCUGCAGUUUGAUUCAGAAAAGGUCAACAAGUACCACACUACUAGGUUAAUGCAUGAGCGGUAGCUGUAUUCUGCAUCUUGUUCAGUCACUUCUGAGAUCAUGCGAGUCAUAGUAAUUAUGAUUACAAAGAUUGAUUUGCCAACAUCGGCAAAUUGAUGAUUGGGAAAGACCAUAAGAGGCAUCAGAAAUGGGUUUUUAUCAGACCCAGCAGGUGUGGAUUCUAGGGAAGAAUCCAUCAGCCCAUGUGUGCCACUGAAGCAUAACAUCUCUUCUCAUUAACCACAAACUUUUAUCCAUGACAAAAGGCAAAAGAUUCGAUUCUGAUCUUUUGGAGCUGACAAUGAUCCUUGAUAUGGGGCAUGGUAGUGACUACUGAGCUUUAAUGAACAAUUGGAGCAUCAGCCGUGGAUCAUAUGGCAUCACUUGUGGCUGACAGUUCUCUUGGAGAUCACUUGGCACAACCCCUUCAACAAGAGGAAUCAUUCAGCAUUAUCCACAGUCCAAACUAUCAAUUCUAUGCAAAGGUUCUGGGCUAAGACAAGAUAAGAUAGAACAAGAAAGCAUUAAUGUUGCAUGAGAUAGCAAUGCACAAAGAAUUGUAAUGAUCUCCCAAGCACUAGUAUUCUUUUCCUUGUUGGUCGAAGAUGAUGUGAAAUUUGAUCCUCGGAGUUGUCAGCUCGGCAUACAAAUGAUCAAUCAAUGCUCUAAGUAUGUUGCAUGAUUGUCGAAUCGUAGAAGACACUGCCAAAUUCCUUGGGCCAGCCAAGAACAUAACACUUCAAAGAGCACUAGCUUUUUUUCCUGCUCUCUUGCAGCAAGUUAAGCACUGAUCAAAAGGCAGGACCACAAGUUUAAGCCACCAUGGAACUUAGUCAUGUAAUAGAGUAAGGGGAAAGAUGGAUGAUACUUUGGCUUUUGUUAAAGAGCAUGCCGAGAAUAUUGCUGAUGAAAAUAUUCCAAUUUUAUCUUUGGUUUUAAAGGGAGAAAAACCAAAGACGCGUAAGGAAUACAUGGCUGGCAUUGCCAGUCUAUGCAAAUCAACCAAUCCUUCUCAAUUGAUGCAUAUUUUUCCACUGUCAAUUUGAACAUCAGCACAGAUAUGCAUGAUCAGUGCCCUAUUAGGCUUGAGUGUGUGAAACAGAGAAAAAAAUGUGGUUUUCCGAGGUCAAAUUGGAUCAAUUCUAUGAACUCAAUUCCAUAAAGUUAGCUGCAGAUAAUUCAAAGAAAGAAAGAAAGCGACUUGAUGGCUUACAAACCUCUUUAGGUACAUAUGCUUUUCUCUCUCUUUGUUUGAAGUGUUCAAACUCACACUUAUCCGUAGGAAUCUGACCAAGAAGCUAGCUCACUGAUCAUCUAUCUUUGCUAGAUAACUUGGUUUUAGAAAUGAGUGGAAGAAUCAGCAUCCAGUUGACUUGUGCAUCAAGAGGCAGGGUCUUGUGGAUGUCGUUGCGAUCACAUUUUUAUAUCAUUCUAAACUAUUUGUCAAAACUAGUUCAACCCAAUAAUAUCAUUCAAAGCUACA